rnacentral:rRNA from 1 species
UACGUAGGGGGCAAGCGUUAUCCGGAAUUGCUGGGUGUAAAGGGAGCGUAGACGGUAAUGUAAGUCUGGAGUGAAAGGCGGGGGCCCAACCCCCGGACUGCUCUGGAAACUAUGUUACUAGAGUGCAGGAGAGGUAAGCGGAAUUCCUAGUGUAGCGGUGAAAUGCGUAGAUAUUAGGAGGAACACCAGUGGCGAAGGCGGCUUACUGGACUGUAACUGACGUUGAGGCUCGAAAGCGUGGGGAGCAAACAGG